rnacentral:rRNA from 1 species
GACGGAGGGGGCUAGCGUUGUUCGGAAUUACUGGGCGUAAAGAGUGCGUAGGCGGUUUAGUAAGUUGGAAGUGAAAGCCCGGGGCUUAACCUCGGAACUGCUUUCAAAACUGCUAGGCUAGAGUGUGGUAGGGGGUGACGGAAUUCCUAGUGUAGAGGUGAAAUUCUUAGAUAUUAGGAGGAACACCGGUGGCGAAGGCGGUCACCUGGGCCACAACUGACGCUGAUGCACGAAAGCGUGGGGAGCAAACAGG